GACGAACGCUGGCGGCGUGCUUAACACAUGCAAGUCGAACGGAAAGGCCCUGCUUUUGUGGGGUGCUCGAGUGGCGAACGGGUGAGUAACACGUGAGUAACCUGCCCUUGACUUUGGGAUAACUUCAGGAAACUGGGGCUAAUACCGGAUAGGAGCUCCUGCUGCAUGGUGGGGGUUGGAAAGUUUCGGCGGUUGGGGAUGGACUCGCGGCUUAUCAGCUUGUUGGUGGGGUAGUGGCUUACCAAGGCUGUGACGGGUAGCCGGCCUGAGAGGAUGACCGGCCACAUUGGGACUGAGAUACGGCCCAGACUCCUACGGGAGGCAGCAGUGGGGAAUAUUGCACAAUGGGCGGAAGCCUGAUGCAGCAACGCCGCGUGCGGGAUGACGGCCUUCGGGUUGUAAACCGCUUUCGCCUGUGACGAAGCGUGAGUGACGGUAAUGGGUAAAGAAGCACCGGCUAACUACGUG
rnacentral:rRNA from 1 species